AAAAGGAGUGCUCCUGAACCAUCCAUCCGUCGUCACCCUUUCAGCAACUACUGGGUCCAUGGAAAGUCAGAGUCUACCCUUAGUGAACUGGUUUUAGGGCAAGAACCAGCUGUGCAUCAGACACCAGUCCACUGCAAGGCGCUCAAUAUUCAUACAGAAUAUGAGGAACUGACGAUGGAGGAGUUAACGGAACUACAGACUCAGCAACAUACGGAGGUUCUGCAGGAAAUUGGUAUUGCAGAAGAGCCAGAGGCGGAAGAGGUUAUCUCUUCAAGAGAGAUAAAGGAAGUUUUGGCAAUGUGGGAAAGAAUUUCAGACUUUAUUGAAAAGAAACACCCUGAAGAAGUUGCAACUGGC